UUCACAUCUGUGUUUAGCAGUUGAAUGUAGUUACUCUAACAUUUAUAUACUUGCCACAAACCUGUCUGAACUAACAUCUGUGCAGAAAGCACAACAUAAAUUUGAUUAAUGCACAAAAGCACUUUGCAUGGC